CCUGGGGUAAACUAAAUAAGUUAAUGGACUUACAAUUCAUCUAUAAGAGACAUCUUUCCUUUAUA
rnacentral:tRNA from 1 species